AACGCACAUUGCGCCCAUUAGUAUUCUAGUGGGCAUGCCUGUUCGAGCGUCAUUUCGACCCUUAAGCCUAGCUUAGUGUUGGGAGUCUACCCUGGAGCUACCCUGUAGCUACCCUGUAGUUCCUCAAAUCGAACGGCGGAGUUGUGACAUCCUCUGAGCGUAGUAGCUUUUAUCUCGCUUUUGUAGGUGUUGCGGCCCCUGCCGGAAAACCCUUAUUUUUUAACGGUUUGACCUCGGAUCAGGUAGGAAUACCCGCUGAACUUAA
rnacentral:misc_RNA from 1 species